rnacentral:lncRNA from 1 species
GUCGUAGUGUCGGUACACUAGAGACACUUUCUGAUUGGAACCGAAUAGAGAGUUCAUAAAUGAACUUUCCCAUCCAAACAACAAUGUUGUAAGCUUCUAUAUGGCAAUAUAUUUUGCAUUCAUAAUGGAACAUACUAAAGUCAUUACUUUUAAUGUUUUCCAUCCAAAUAUCUCUUUAGUCAUAAUAAAGAGAUAUCUGAUUAUCUCUUCAUUCAUAAUAAAGAAACAUCCAAUGAUGGAUUAGAUUCAUAAUCUAAUACAUUUACGCUUCCUUUACGUUACUCUAAUUCUUCCUCAUCCUUUGAGGAAUCUAUCCUUUAGUAUUUCUUAAAUACUUAAGGACUCACUUGACAGUUGCCAUGGUUCUGAUCCUGGGCUUGCACUGAUAUCGUCUUGUACCGUUCUAGGUACAACUCAUAUCAAUGUUUUUCAUACAAUAUGAAAUACAUAAAUCACCUUUAUGCGUAUGCAUAAAGGAUUCUAUUUACGCAUUAUUUCUUUGGGAGUCAAAGAGUACGUUCUCUUUGAGAAGAGCAACUUCUUAGUCUCACUAGAGUUGUCCUUUUAAUUGAAGUUUAUCAUCAUAUGAGAAACUUCCUAGCAUCUAUUGUCUAUUAUUAGGGAUUGAUAUAAUCCAAUUAUAUCAUGAAAUAUAUCAUUAUAGAUUUCCAUCCCAUGUAUAUAGACUAUAUCUCCCAUAUACAUUAUAUCUUCAUAUAAUGUUUUAAAGUCAUAACUUUAACGAAGAAGUAUUCUUUUCAUUUCCAAAAUUAAUAAAUCAAAUAUAUAUUUAAAUUUUAGGAACAUGAUUAACUCCCACUAAUCUUUUGUA